rnacentral:rRNA from 1 species
UAAGGAAUAUUGGUCAAUGGGCGAAAGCCUGAACCAGCCAUGCCGCGUGCGGGAAGAAGGUUCUUAGAAUUGUAAACCGCUUUUGAUAGGGAAGAAUGGGCGAGAUUAAUCUUGCAAGAGACGGUACCUAUCGAAUAAGCACCGGCUAACUCCGUGCCAGCAGCCGCGGUAAUACGGAGGGUGCAAGCGUUAUCCGGAAUCACUGGGUUUAAAGGGUACGUAGGCGGCUCGUUAAGUCAUUAUUGAAAGGUCGUUGCUUAACAACGGACGUGGUAAAGAUACUGGCGAGCUAGAAUUAGACAGAGGUUGGCAGAAUGUGUCAUGUAGCGGUGAAAUGCAUAGAUAUGACAUAGAAUACCGAUAGCGAAGGCAGCUAACUGGGUCUAGAUUGACGCUGAGG